GGCUCUUUGGUCUAGGGAUAUGAUUCUCGCUGGGGGGUGAGAGGUCCCAGGCUCAAAUCCCAGACGAGCCC